CUGAAAUUGUUUACAGAUACUUAUUUGAUUCUUAUUCUAUUCAUUUUCCAUGUUUUUGCAUACAUCAAAUGCCUUGAGAAUAGGUUUAAAGGAAAUCUUGCAGAGGUGAUGAUUGUACACCAAGAAAUGUCACUUACAAUAUGCAUCAAGUCAGAAGGAGUCAACUAGCCAGUGAUGAUGUCAUGCUGUGGAAACCACCUGACCUUUGUGAUGAGGUUUUGCCUAGUAAAUAUCAUCUGAAUUGUACUUUGAAGAGUGUGUAGAUUUGGAGAAACUUAGAAACUGAUUAUAAUGCAGAAUCUGCAAAGGCUCAGCAAAGAAGAAGUGUGGCAUUGACGUGGUGAGUAAAAGGGAGUUUCUAAUGGAGGAAAAAU
rnacentral:lncRNA from 1 species